AAUAUGUAUUACAACAAUAACUCCGUUAUAUAAAGUUCUAGAUAAGUAUUUGAUUAUGACAUAAUUUAUCUAUAAGUCUUGACUAAAUCACGUGCCAGCAGUCGCGGUAAUACGUGGAAGACAAGUGUUAUUCAUCUUUAUUUGGUUUAAAGGGUACCUAGACAGUUAAUCAAGCCUAAAGCCUAUUGAGGGGACUAAUUAACUAGAGUUUUAUGGGAGAAGGUUAGAACGGUGAGUGGAGAGAUGAAAUGCGUUGAUACCACCUAGAGACUGUCAACGGCGAAGGCAACCUUUUAUGUAAUAACUGACGUUGAGGGACGAAGGCUCGAUCGAGAAAACAGGAUUAGAUACCCAAGUAUUGUGGGCAGACAAUGAUGAGUGUCAUAGAUAAGUAAUUUAAUAUAAUACAAAUAUAAUAAAUAGGUAUUAUAUUAUUAUUUAUGUAUAAAUGAAAGUGUAAGCACUCCACCUCAAGAGUAACAUGGCAACAUAGGAACUGAAAUCAUUAGACCGUUUCUGAAACCAGUAGUGAAGUAUGUUGUUUAAUUUGAUGAUCCACAAAGAACCUUACCACAAUUUGAAUAGAUUUCUUGAAAAAGGAAUUUACAGGAGUUGCACGGCUGUCUUCAGUUGAUAUCGUGAGAUUUUGGUUAGCUCCAUUUAAUCAACGUAAACCCUUACUUUAUUUUUCUAUAUAAAGUAGUUCUCCGCUAGAUUGGAUAAGAUAACAGGACUAA
rnacentral:rRNA from 1 species